rnacentral:rRNA from 1 species
UACGUAGGCAGCAAGCGUUGUUCGGAGUUACUGGGCGUAAAGGGUGCGUAGGCGGCUUCUUAAGUUUGGUGUGAAAUCUCCCGGCUCAACUGGGAGGGUGCGCCGAAUACUGAGGGGCUAGAGUGUGGGAGGGGAAAGUGGAAUUCCAGGUGUAGCGGUGAAAUGCGUAGAUAUCGGAAAGAACACCAAGGGCGAAGGCACUCUGCUGGGCCGAAACUGACACUGAGAGACGAGAGCUAGGGGAGCAAAUGGG